rnacentral:tRNA from 1 species
GCCUGGGUGGCUCAGUCGGUUAAGCGUCCGACUUCGGCUCAGGUCAUGAUCUCGCGGUCCGUGGGUUCGAGCCCCACGUCAGGCU